UGCUAAAAUCCUAGGCAAUGUAAUAAACUAAUUAAAACUGCACAAUUUAAAAAACUUGCAUAUAAAGUAUUUAUCUACUGAAAUUGUUUAAUAAAUGUAUAAAAAUCUAACAUACGCACUUAACCUCGGCUAUAUAAUCAAAUUUUCUACAUGAAGUUUUCUUGGUAACAACAUUAGGUGUAUUUGGCGGUGUUUACAUCUGGAAACCACUUCUAGAACAACAUUUUGGAAUAAAAAUUGAACGAAAUACUGAGAAAUUAGACGAUACACCAAAAUGAACUAUUUUCUAUUAUUCGGAGGCAUGGUGGCAAUCACUGGGAGUUUUAUAGGCUAUAGAUCAUUUAUAUCCCCUAAGCUACAACGGAGCAGAGGAGACAGAAAUGAAGCAUUUGCUAAUUAUGUAUU